rnacentral:rRNA from 1 species
GACGAACGCUGGCGGCGUGCUUAACACAUGCAAGUCGAGCGGUAAGGCCCUUUCGGGGGUACACGAGCGGCGAACGGGUGAGUAACACGUGGGUGACCUGCCCUCAGCUCUGGGAUAAGCCUGGGAAACUGGGUCUAAUACUGGAUAUGACUCCACGGUGCAUGUCGUGGGGUGGAAAGCCUUGUGCGGCUGAGGAUGGGCCCGCGGCCUAUCAGCUUGUUGGGGGGUGAUGGCCUACCAAGGUGACGACGGGUAGCCGGCCUGAGAGGGCGACCGGCCACACUGGGACUGAGACACGGCCCAGACUCCUACGGGAGGCAGCAGUGGGGAAUCUUGCGCAAUGGGCGAAAGCCUGACGCAGCGACGCCGCGUGAGGGAUGACGGCCU